AGUUUGAUCCUGGCUCAGAAUCAACGCUGGCGGCGUGCCUAACACAUGCAAGUCGAACGAGAAAGUGGAGCAAUCCAUGAGUACAGUGGCGCACGGGUGAGUAACACGUGACUAACCUACCCUUGAGUGGGGGAUAACCUAGGGAAACCUGGGCUAAUACCGCAUAAUACCUACGGGUCAAAGGAGCAAUUCGCUUAAGGAGGGGGUCGCGGCCGAUUAGUUAGUUGGCAGGGUAACGGCCUACCAAGACGAUGAUCGGUAUCCGGCCUGAGAGGGCGCACGGACACACUGGAACUGAAACACGGUCCAGACUCCUACGGGAGGCAGCAGUGGGGAAUUUUGCGCAAUGGGGGAAACCCUGACGCAGCAACGCCGCGUGGAGGAUGAAGUCCUUCGGGA
rnacentral:rRNA from 1 species